GCUUUCUUUACAGAUUUCCUGGAAAGUAAAGGAAUGCAUUAACAUCUUGUAUUUGGAAUGAAAGAUUACAGGUAGCUACAGGAAACACAGAAGUAGGGAGCAUGUAGCCCACAUUGAACUUGCAGCAGAAGCAGAAUAGAAGCCCUGCUUAUGGAAAGUGGUUUUGACCUAAGAUAUUCAGACAGAGCUGCAAGCCUAAGAGCCUCAUGUCCUGGAUCCCUUCACUUUCUUUGUUCUGGAAAUACUUUAUGUUCUAUCCACCAAAUGCACACACAGAAAGAAGAUUCCAAAGGUGUAACAGAGGCUCAGACAUAAACCAAAAGCUAUUCCUCUGUGGAUUCAAGAUAAAAUCCCAUUGAGAGUCAGUGCUGAGCACGCAGAUAGAAGCUGCAUGUGAUAGAGAUGAUCCAAUUUUCAUCAUCGGAAGCAGGGCUAGACUGUGAAAAGGGAUGAUUUACAGAGCCUGGCUAUUUGACAUGAUGGAAAAUCACUGCUAUUUGGCCUCAUACAAAAUGGAGUUUCCCAUGGAAGGAAUGUGCUUAAAUUUUCCCAGAAAAAUGGGUGUUCCCUGCAGAGAAACUGAUUGCUCAAUCUUCCUCAGUGGCAGCAAAUUCCAGAGAAUCAGGAAAAAAAAAAAAACAACCCCAAAAAUGAGGGUAAGAUUUAUUUAUUUUCAUAUCUGAACAAAAUCACUGCAUAGAAGCACAGGGUUUGGCAUGAUGGGUGGUCUGUGCUGAGCUGUGGCAGAGGAGAGUGCCUGUGACUGUAUGCUGAGGUCUGGGGUAUACCUUGAGGCUUUACUGUGGGGCACGGCCUGGAGAAGAAUGAGAAAGUGGUCAGUCUGUCUUAUGUGUCUAGUGUAGUGGGUUGUUCUUCAAACUUCCUAUGCAAAAUCAGAAAAU